rnacentral:tRNA from 1 species
CUUGGGAUAUAUCAGAGAAUAGCUAAGAAGUAUAGCAUCUCCCUUACACCGAGAAG